ACACUGCUGAGCCUGGGGUGGUUUGGAAUUCUUCGGCGAAGUGGAGCGGGCUGAGAGUGGGUUUCCCGUCCCCGAGCCCUCCCUCAUCUCGGAGAUGCCGCACUUGUGAGCGACAGGGCUUCAUUUGAAUUUUCGCACCUCGCGAGUUGCGGAGCCUGCAUCUCUGAAGCUGCCUCGGUGAAGAGCCACAGCAUUAUUUUUUUUCUCUUUGGGAGAGUAGCUGUCUGGGAUUUGAGAUCCUAUCUUCCCUGCAAAUUACCAGGUUGCAUCUUCACUGAUAGGAAUACAUUUCUUCACCAAAGGACAUGGAUGAAAAUGAAAGCAACCAGUCUCUGAUGACAAGCAGCCAAUAUCCUAAAGAAGCAGUAAGAAAACGUCAAAAUUCAGCACGGAAUUCCGGAGCAAGUGAUUCUUCUAGGUUUUCUAGGAAAAGCUUCAAACUGGAUUAUAGACUAGAAGAAGAUGUAACUAAAUCCAAGAAAGGAAAAGAUGGGAGAUUUGUGAAUCCGUGGCCAACAUGGAAAAACCCCUCUAUUCCAAAUGUUCUCAGAUGGCUGAUAAUGGAGAAAGAUCACAGCAGUGUUCCAAGUUCUAAAGAGCUUUCAAAAAGGAAGACCAGCCAAGAAAGUCUUGAUCUAGCCAUGAAAAUGCCACGUGGCCUCAGCUUUUCCUCUGAACUUCCUAAAGAGAGAAGUAUCAUGAAAUCUUAAGAGUUUUCCCAGUGACAGAAAUGACAAAGCCAGGUGCUCUGGAGAAGAAUUUUUCCUGAAACGAGAUGGGAGGGAAAUGUUUCUGGGGUAAGUAGGAAGGUGGAGGUGGUACCAAGUCUGCAGCCUGAACACAUACAUGGUGAGUUUCAUGAGGUGGCUUCCUAUGAGAGACCUCCAUGCAGCUAUAUAGCAUGGUACCAGAGCACAAUUCAGUAAAAGAGCUUUAUAAAAGCCAGGACUGUGAUGCUGCAACCUUACCACUUUUUGUUGGCCUAGCUUAAUCCAAGUAUAAAAUGUAGAAUAACCAAGGGAUAAUACUCUUCACGCUUUGUUAUAGUUAUUGUUUUAUAUCCAUUUACGGCCCCCCUUAUCUCAGUGAUCAGCUUCUCACAGGAAGGGAUCAUAUUCACGUUGGUUUGAUUAAUGGUAGAAAAUCAGAAAGGUAAGGAAUGAGGAAAACAAUUUAUGACUGUGAUUUGUCCAGGAAUCAUCACAGCGCUCCAUUUUGAAUUAUAGGUACUCAGAAAGUGAGAUUCAGGCCAGGCACAGUGGCUCACGCCUAUAAUACCAGCACUUUGGGAGGGCAAGACAGGAUGAUUGCUUGAGCCCAGGAGUUCAAGAUCAAUCUGGGCAACAUAAUGAGACCCUGUCUCUACAAAAAAUAAAAAAUUAGCUGGAUAUGGUGGUGCUGUGUGCCUGUGAUCCCAGCUGAGAGGUUGAGGUGGGAUGAUCACUUGACCCUGGGGGGUUGUGGCUGUAGAGAGCUGUGAUUAUGCCACUGCACCCCAGCCUGGGUAACAGAGCGAGAGCCUGUCUCAGACAAAAAAAAAAAAAAAAAAAAAAAAAAGAAAAAUAUCAGAUUCAUGAUUCAUGUCUGAGAGCCAAGAGCUACAAAUAAAUGGUCAUAAGCUUUCUUUACUAUUUCCAGGGACUGACCUGCUUUUAAGGCAGUUUUUAGCAGCAAAUACAUCAGCUGAGUAGAAUGGCAAUAGAAAAAUGACUGCAUCUAGGCCAGUCUACUUCUGGCAGUACUGAAGAGAGCCUUUAAAAAAUUGAUACAUUUAGCAGCACUCAAAGUUUUAAAUUUAAUUUUCUCUUUUGCAUUUGGGAGGAAGAAGAUUACCAUAUUAUCAUGAUUAUUAAGUCAGAUUCAGAAAGAAGUAUGCAUUUUCAAGAAAAAAGCAAAAGUGUAGCAAGUUUAUUGAAUGACUUUAGUUCUCUUAAAACAGCUCUUCUUGCCAUUAUUUAGGUCAAAAUGUGGACUAUGAUGAUAUAAUACUUUUUUUUCUAACUACUCUUUUGUCUUGCUUUCUUUAUACACAAAGGAACUAGACAAAGAACUCCCAGUGCUUAAGCCAUAUUUUAUCACUAACCCUGAAGAAGCUGGAGUGAGGGAAGCUGGCUUAAGAGUCACAUGGCUGGGACAUGCCACGGUAAUGGUGGAAAUGGAUGAGCUCAUAUUUCUCACGGAUCCCAUCUUUAGCUCUCGUGCUUCACCAUCGCAGUACAUGGGUCCAAAGCGAUUUCGUCGUUCCCCGUGCACAAUAAGUGAACUCCCUCCAAUAGAUGCGGUCCUUAUCAGUCACAACCACUAUGACCAUCUGGACUACAAUUCUGUCAUUGCUUUGAAUGAGCGAUUUGGUAAUGAGUUGAGAUGGUUUGUGCCUUUGGGUCUCCUUGACUGGAUGCAAAAAUGUGGCUGUGAGAAUGUGAUUGAGUUGGACUGGUGGGAGGAGAAUUGUGUCCCCGGACAUGAUAAGGUCACUUUUGUCUUUACACCUUCCCAGCACUGGUGUAAAAGGACUCUAAUGGAUGACAACAAGGUGCUAUGGGGCAGCUGGUCUGUCUUGGGGCCUUGGAAUCGAUUUUUUUUCGCAGGAGAUACUGGUUAUUGCCCUGCUUUUGAAGAGAUAGGAAAAAGAUUUGGACCUUUUGACCUUGCAGCUAUUCCCAUCGGAGCUUAUGAACCGAGGUGGUUUAUGAAAUACCAGCAUGUAGACCCAGAAGAAGCUGUAAGGAUUCACACUGAUGUCCAAACAAAGAAAUCUAUGGCAAUUCACUGGGGAACUUUUGCCUUAGCAAAUGAGCAUUACUUAGAGCCUCCAGUGAAGCUGAAUGAAGCUCUAGAGAGAUACGGACUUAACGCUGAAGAUUUUUUUGUCUUGAAGCAUGGAGAAUCAAGAUACCUAAAUAAUGAUGAUGAAAACUUUUAAUAAAUAAUUUCCUGAGGUGAAAAACCGAUAUUGAAGAUUCAUUUUUCUUUUUUCCAUUCUUCAGGACCUUCGGCAAGGUGAGUCAAGGCUCUCUACCUACCUAGAUGUUUUUCAGAGGCCUACAAAUACAAGUAUCUUUCUUAUAUGCACAUUCUAAUAAAUGAUGAAAUUCAGUCCAACAUGCUUAUUAUAAACAUAGCAAUUCUUGCUCUAUCAAAUUAGCUUAUAUGCCAAAUAUUAAAUAUGGUUUAUUUAGGUAAGCAUAAAAACAUAGGGGCUAUCAUUUUUAAAGACUUGAUUUUCUCUAUUGUGGUAAAAUAUAUAAAUACAUAUUUGCCAUUUUAAACAUUUACCAUUUUAACCAUUUUUAAGUGUACAGUUCUUUCGCAUUAAUGCACCCAUGACCACCAUUCACUUAAAUUUUUAAAAGAACAGUAUAUUCUUUUUUUCCUAGAGCCUUCAGAUGAGAGGGAACAGUAUAUUCUAUUGCACGUCUACAAUUCCCAAAAGACCUCUUACUUUGGGAGGCCAAGGUGGGUGGGUCACUUGAACCCAGGAGUUUGACAUCAACCUGGGCAACAUGGUGACCUCCCGUCUCUCUCGGAAAAAAAAAAAGAAAAAAGAAAAAGCCGGGUGAGGUGGUGUGUACCUGUAGUCACAGGUACUUGGGAGGCUGAGGUGGGAGGAUCACUUGAGCCCAGGAGAUAGAGGCUGCAGUGAGCUGUGAUCGUACCACUGCACUCCAGCCUGGGCGACAAAAUGAGACCCUGUCUCAAAAGAAAGCCCUCUCCUUAGCUGAGCAGAGGAAGGGAAGGAGUGUGGCUAUGAGAAUAUGAUUUAUGCCAUUUUCUGUUUUUAAAUCUAGAAGAUCUUCUAAGCACAAAUACAGCUACAAUGAAAUAUUUUACAGACAAAAUGUUAAUAGACCAUAUUCUUUGAAUUAAAUUUGUUUUUAAUUUUCUCUACACAUUUUUUUUUUCCUGGAGUCUCUUAGCUCUAAAUAUAUCAAUCAGAUUUAUAAUUUUUUUUACCUGAUUCAGAUGUCUUACAUUUUUAUAUUAAAUGAACCUUAAGCAUGAUUCUUUUGGUAAGCCAGUAUGAAUGCCAGUGGUUGGGGGGCGGGGGGGGAGUCAGUUGACAUAAGAUUUAGUCCUAAUAAGGACUCUGUAUUCACUUGAUUAUUCUGACCCUUCCUAAGGGAGGGAGGUGGAUUAGAUACCACUGGAGGCCCAUUCUGUAUUCCUAAUCCAGUCUCAGCACUUUAUUCAUACAAAAUAAUCAAAAUAGGUUUUCUACACCAAAUGCUACCCAGGCAGUGCUCUAUAAUUUAUUUGCACACCUGUAUGUGUGGUGCCACGUUAGCCACUAAAUCUGAACUUUUACCCUGCUUUCAUCAUGGAUUUUUUUGUGUAACCUGAAACAAGUCACCAGUGCUCACUGUGCCUGUUUCCUCAUUUGCAACAAGAGGAUAAUUCCGACCUACCUCUGAAAAAUGUGUAGAUUAAAUGAGUUUUUAAAGCACUUUAGAAAAUAUAAGGGAGAAAAUGAUUUCUUAAGAUAUCACUGCCUAAUAUAGACAGGUAUAUUUGAAAGCUAAAUACAGGUUAAUGCUUUUGAUAAUGUAUUGUUCCUGUUGCAAAUUUAAGCAUUAUAUAUUAGGAGACUAAACAUUGAAAACUUUCACUGAUUUUUAAAUUGGAGUAAUAGCCUAAAUAAGUGUAAAUAAUCUUUAUCAAAAUUUAGUGUUUAUCUACAAAGAUGCGAAUCAGUCAAGGGGAAAUGUGUAUGCAAUGUGUGUGUAUAUGAUGUAUGCGAACAUAUGUGAUUUUGGGGUACUAAAGCACAAAAAAAUCCCCCAUAAAAUAAACCUUCCUGAAAAGACUGAUCAUAAACUUUUUCACUCCAAGCAGAUGUGAAUCAAGAUGUUAGGUUUAUGGUGAGUUAGCUUUGAGGUGUGUUGCCCUAAUACUAGCCAGCGUUGUUGUAGCCAUAUUCCCUGCUGCUGCACGCCGAAUUGAAAAUCCAUCUCUUACCUCUUCUCUAUGAAGCAAGCCAGGUAUGUCUUGCUUAAGUAUUUCUUCUCCAUGAAUGGCCUUAACAUUAUUUUGUAUUCACGUGUACUGUUUAACUGAGGGUCUCAAAGCACUUUAAACUGUUGUGUUCUAUUUCCACUCGUCUGGCCUGCCUCAUUUUUCUAGGCCCUUUUGUAAGCUGUAAUUUUUUAUUACCACUCAUGUUCUUUCUACACUGACACUAUUCAUUAAGAACAUCAAGCUUCAUCUCUGCUUACAGAAUCUCACCUUAUUGAGUGGGUUCCACUUUAUUUUUCAUUUGUUAUCUACAUUUUGAAGGGUUUAUGUGCAAAGUGAAAACAAAUUUUGAAAAAUAAGACAAAUCCAUUCUCUUCUUCAAUUCAGUCUAAUAUGCAUUGUAGUGUCUUUUAAUCAGUCUUAUCCUCUAAGUCAACUUCAUUUUCCUCUUCGUGAAUACCCAUAGCAAUAUGUAAGAUUUUAUUGAAGUUUCCUGUGAUAACUGAGGAAUACUUUGCUAUGCCUCACUGCCCAAUAGGGUGGGUCAUCAAUUAGGAGAAAUCCCAAAUUAUAAAAGCCAACAUAUGCCGUGACCUACGUAGGAAAAGAUGUAUUUGUGCAUCUUCUUUCUGGGUAGUUAAAAAUUACUCCCUCUUUUCUCUAGCAUUUUGACAUUUCAGACUCAAUGCUCUGAUCUCUAGGGAGUGUGAUUAUUCAAACUAAUGAGAGGACAAGAAGACACAGUUUUAGAAUCUACUGCUGCUAAAGCACAUUAAAAACAAAUCCUGGUUUUUAAUGUAUGCAUAGUUUCAUAUUUAAUGAAUAUGCUUUCAUUAAAUAGGGAGGUAGAUUUGAAAAAACCGUUAUAAAGAAAUGUGCCUUUUGGGGAAUGAAUACUUUUGUUCAUGUCUAGCCCACUGGGAAUUUUGUUUUCACCUUAUACUGAGUCCUUUUUCUAAUGUAAAAAUAUUUCUUCCAAGUUUGAUUUCUGUAUCAGGGUAACAUUGAGAACACACAUAUUUCUGUUUGAGGAUUUGUGACUUCCUAUGGAAACAGUCUUGCAUCUAUGUAUUUACAAAUGAAAUUUAAAGUAUUCUUAAAGCUUUGCCUUAAAUACUGCUUGCAUACUGAUUUACUUAAUGCUAAGCAUGGCAGGGGUUAUAAAUUUAAAUACUAUAAGACCUGGCUGAAUCCCAGAUGUAUCAAUAAAUUGUUAUAGUAGCUUAUGGAAAAUGCUAUUAAAGAUAAAUUUUCAUACAUUGUAUUUUUAGUCAAGUAAAAUAUGGAUGAAAAUUAAUAAAGUACUGUCAAGGGAAAAAAUA